AGUGAACGCUGGCGGCAGGCCUAACACAUGCAAGUCGAACGGCAGCACAGAGGAGCUUGCUCCUUGGGUGGCGAGUGGCGGACGGGUGAGGAAUACAUGGGAAUCUGCCCAAUCGUGGGGGAUGACGUAGGGAAACUUACGCUAAUACCGCAUACGACCUACGGGUGAAAGCGGCGGACCGCAAGGCGUCGCGCGAUUGGAUGAGCCCAUGUCGGAUUAGCUAGUUGGCGGGGUAAAGGCCCACCAAGGCGACGAUCCGUAGCUGGUCUGAGAGGAUGAUCAGCCACACUGGAACUGAGACACGGUCCAGACUCCACGGGAGGCAGCAGUGGAGAAUAUUGGACAAUGGGCGCAAGCCUGAUCCAGCCAUGCCGCGUGAGUGAAGAAGGCCCUCGGGUUGUAAAGCUCUUUUGUCCGGAAAGAAAAGCUUUCGGUUAAUACCCGGAAGUCCUGACGGUACCGGAAGAAUAAGCACCGGCUAACUUCGUGCCAGCCGCCGCAGUAAUAC
rnacentral:rRNA from 1 species